rnacentral:rRNA from 1 species
GACGAACGCUGGCGGCGUGCUUAACACAUGCAAGUCGAACGGUAAGGCCCUUCGGGAUACGCGAGUGGCGAACGGGUGAGUAACACGUGGGUGAUCUGCCCUGCACUUCGGGAUAAGCCUGGGAAACUGGGUCUAAUACCGGAUAGGACCACUGCCUGCAUGGGUGGUGGUGGAAAGCUUUUGCGGUGUGGGAUGGGCCCGCGGCCUAUCAGCUUGUUGGUGGGGUGAUGGCCUACCAAGGCGACGACGGGUAGCCGGCCUGAGAGGGUGACCGGCCACACUGGGACUGAGAUACGGCCCAGACUCCUGCGGGAGGCAGCAGUGGGGAAUAUUGCACAAUGGGCGCAAGCCUGAUGCAGCGACGCCGCGUGAGGGAUGACGGCCUUCGGGUUGUAAACCUCUUUCAGCACCGACGAAGCGCAAGUGACGGUAGGUGCAGAAGAAGGACCGGCCAACUACGUGCCAGCCGCCGCCGUAA